CUUGUAUGUUUAGUCAAGUCAACCACCGUGGUGUUCCCCCGUACUCCCUUUCUAUUCUCUUUUUCUAGUCUUCCCAGUUUUGACCGCUGCCUGACUCUGGACUACUUUCCCGCCUGCCUGAUCAUCCUGCCUGCCCUGACCUUGAAUCUGCCUGCCCUUCGGUACCUAUUGGACUCUGAACUGGUUUUGACCUUUGCGUUGUAAGCUAAUGUUUUAGGAAAGCCGGCUAGCUCCCUGCAGAAUCUAGACAAUAGAGAAUGGGGAAUGAGAUAUGGCUAUUGCAGUGCCCAGAUGAGGUGAGAGCAAACUGUUACAGAGAUAAAAAGCCACAACAUGAUGAUCAUGUCGUCAAGCAUCUGAAGACUAGCGAGGAGGAGAAACGCCUGCUUUGGAUGAGCAAGGAAGAACUAACAACUAGCUGUACCAGAUAAACAUGUUCAAGCUAGUAGUAGAAUCUCCAAAUGCUAUGUUGAAAGAGCACCACGGAUGAAGGAGGCGGAGGAAAACAGACAGCUUCUAUCUACCAUACCUUCACCAAGUCAUGCAAUGUUUGCUUCAUGAACAAUUGUUACAUCUGAAAUAAAUACAGAAUUAUUUUAGUUU